AACGCUAGCUACAGGCUUAACACAUGCAAGUCGAGGGGAAACGAUAUUGGAAGCUUGCUUCCGAUAGGCGUCGACCGGCGCACGGGUGAGUAACGCGUAUCCAACCUGCCCAUCACUUGGGGAUAACCUUGCGAAAGUAAGACUAAUACCCAAUGACGUCUCUAGAAGACAUCUGAAAGAGAUUAAAGAUUUAUCGGUGAUGGAUGGGGAUGCGUCUGAUUAGCUUGUUGGCGGGGUAACGGCCCACCAAGGCAACGAUCAGUAGGGGUUCUGAGAGGAAGGUCCCCCACAUUGGAACUGAGACACGGUUCAAACUCCUACGGGAGGCAGCAGUGAGGAAUAUUGGUCAAUGGGCGAGAGCCUGAACCAGCCAAGUAGCGUGCAGGAUGACGGCCCUAUGGGUUGUAAACUGCUUUUAUGCGGGGAUAAAGUGGGGGACGUGUCCCUUUUUGCAGGUACCGCAUGAAUAAGGACCGGCUAAUUCCGUGCCAGCAGCCGCGGUAAUACGGAAGGUCCGGGCGUUAUCCGGAUUUAUUGGGUUUAAAGGGAGCGUAGGCCGGCUUUUAAGCGUGUUGUGAAAUGCCGCGGCCCAACCGUGGCACUGCAGCGCGAACUGGAGGCCUUGAGUGCGCGGGAGGUAGGCGGAAUUCGUGGUGUAGCGGUGAAAUGCUUAGAUAUCACGAAGAACUCCGAUUG
rnacentral:rRNA from 1 species